UACGUAGGUGGCAAGCGUUGUCCGGAUUUACUGGGCGUAAAGAGCGCGCAGGCGGCCAAGUAAGUCGAAUGUGAAAGCCCCCGGCUCAACUGGGGAAGGUCAUUCGAUACUGCCUGGCUUGAAGAUGGGAGAGGGAAGCGGAAUUUCAGGUGUAGUGGUGAAAUGCGUAGAUAUCUGAAGGAACACCAGUGGCGAAGGCGGCUUUCUGGCCCAUUCUUGACGCUGAGGCGCGAAAGCUAGGGGAGCGAACGGGAUUAGAUACCCCCGUA
rnacentral:rRNA from 1 species